rnacentral:rRNA from 3 species
CGACUCUCGGCAACGGAUAUCUUGGCUCUCGCAUCGAUGAAGAACGUAGCGAAAUGCGAUACUUGGUGUGAAUUGCAGAAUCCCGUGAACCAUCGAGUUUUUGAACGCAAGUUGCGCCCGAAGCCUUUGGCCAGGGCACGUCUGCCUGGGCGUCACGCAUU